CCUACGGGGCGCAGCAGUGGGGAAUAUUGGGCAAUGGAGGAAACUCUUACCCAGCAAUGCCGCGUGAAUGAAGAAGGUCUUCGGAUUGUAAAGUUCUUUAAUUGGGGACGAAAAAAAUGACGGUACCCAAGGAAUAAGCCCCGGCUAACUACGUGCCAGCAGCCGCGGUAAUACGUAGGGGGCAAGCGUUAUCCGGAUUUACUGGGUGUAAAGGGGGCGCAGACGGCGAUGCAAGCCAGGAGUGAAAGCCCGGGGCCCAACCCCGGGACUGCUCUUGGAACUGCGUGGCUGGAGUGCAGGCGGGG
rnacentral:rRNA from 1 species